AGGAGGAAAAACCUAGCUGCAAUGGCCUCUAUGGCUUAAAGGUAAAUGUAUGUAGAACCUCUUACCACACCCAAAAACAAUUGCACAGGGUGUGAAAAAAAGCUUGUUGUCAUAGUUAUAAAGCAGGGCAAGCCCACGGUUAUAUUUUCUAAUUUAAUUUGCCACUAGAUGUCACAGUAGAGCAGCAGCAUCUCAUACCCAAACAAUAGCCGCUACUGCCGACCAGACAGUCAUUUUCCCUAGUAGAAAAUCGUAAAACGCACCAAACUGGACAGAAAUAAAAUAAUCUUUUUCAGUCUGUUCAACCAUCACUUGGUCUAAAUAAAACCCUUAAAGGGAACAUAUUAUGCAAAACCAACUUUUUAAUCAUUUGAUUAUGUACAUUUGGGACUCUGGAGGGCCUAUCAGCAGGCAAAGUGUGAAGAAAAAUGACUCAGUCAUGUUUUUGUGGGCUGCCUCAGUCAAAAUACAGGAGAUAAAACACGCAAUGUAGACUUCGCACCAACUGUGAUGUCACACUUUGGUUUGCGACCUUUGACCGCGAAUGUUGCCACCCCUUCCAGGAAGUUUUGACAAUCGGAGCUCCGCCAUUGUUACUAUAAAAGAGCAAGCUAGCGGAGAACAAGCAAGCGAGCCCAGCCAGCAGCCUGCAGCCUAAUGUCUGGGCAAAGGCUUUCAGCAGGCAAACCGUUCAGUCAUUGUCUGCACAGCCCAACACUAAUUUAAAUACGUAUGAGCCACUGGAUUUAUUUUUAUUUUUGACGGCAAUGUCCGUCGGAAAAAACGGAAUGUGUGUGAACCACUUCGUGUCGGACUGUUUGAACAACCUCGCUCAGUACAACACUGGACUGGCUGAAAACUGUUCCUGAAAGAGGGAUUGUACCAACUGUCUGUGGAGAGACGGCAGAGGAAGUAACUGUGACCUGAUGAAGCUCAGGUGUUCCUGGACCCAUCAGAGGACAACAGUUUACAUAAAAGUUAUAGCUUUGUUACUUACAACAUGUGUAAUUGGAAUAUGAAUGAAACAUGAAUAAAGUGUUUUACUUUUAAGAA